GUAUUCCGCUCCAUAGCGUAUAUUAAAGUUGUUGCAGUUAAAAAGCUCGUAGUUGAAUUUCGGAGUUCUACCGUCGGUCGGGCUACCAAGUCUGUACUGGUGUGUAGAAUUCCUACCUUCUGGGGAACUAUCAUGUUAUUAAUUUAGCGUGGUGGGAAACCAGGACCUUUACCUUGAAAAAAUUAGAGUGUUCAAAGCAGGCUUAUGUCUGAAUACAUUAGCAUGGAAUAAUAGAAUAGGACGGUGGUCCUGUUUUGUUGGUUUCUGAAUCACCGUAAUGAUUAAUAGGGAUAGUUGGGGGCAUUAGUAUUCAAUUGUCAGAGGUGAAAUUCUUGGAUUUAUUGAAGACUAACUUCUGCGAAAGCAUUUGCCAAGGAUGUUUUCAUUAAUCAAGAACGAAAGUUAGGGGAUCGAAGACGAUCAGAUACCGUCGUAGUCUUAACCAUAAACUAUGCCGACUAGGGAUCGGACGAUGUUAAAUUUUAUUGACUCGUUCGGCACCUUACGGGGAAACA
rnacentral:rRNA from 1 species